rnacentral:pre_miRNA from 1 species
GAGACACCCUUAUGGGGCAGGACUUGCUUCAGUGGGGCUUUGGUGUUCUGAGUCUGCCCCCUGAGUCUGUCUCU